rnacentral:rRNA from 1 species
CCUACGGGUGACAGCAGUGGGGGAUAUUGGGCAAUGGGCGCAAGCCUGACCCAGCGACGCCGCGUGAGGGAAGAAGGCUUUCGGUAUGUAAAGCUCUUUUAGCAGGGAAGAAGGAAGUGACGGUACCUGAGUAAGAAGCCACGGCUAACUACGUGCCAGCAGCCGCGGUAAUACGUAGGGGGCAAGCGUUAUCCGGAUUUACUGGGUGUAAAGGGAGAGUAGGCGGGGAUGCAAGUCAGAUGUGAAAGGCGGGGGCCCACCCCCCGGACUGCUCUUGAAACUGUGUAACUGGAGUGCAGGAGAGGCAGGCGGAAUUCCGAGUGUAGCGGUGAAAUGCGUAGAUAUUAGGAGGAACACCAGUGGCGAAGGCGGUCUGCUGGACUGCAACUGACGCUGAGGCGCGAAAGCGUGGGGAGCAAACAGGAUUAGAUACCCUGGUAGUC